AUCAUGAAUUUGUUGUUGCUCUCUAAUUGUUCCUAGCAAAAAGCAUGAAUGGUGUUUCAUAAAUAAAUUAUGAUGUAUCUAGACAAGAGAACACAAAUAAGCUUUAAAAGAUGAUGUAUUCAAGUAUAUAUACUGACAUAAGCUAUGUCUAUGAAAUAAUAUUGAAGAAAAGGAAGCUCCUGGUUCCAGUUACAUCGGAAGUUCCACCUCUACAGAGACCAAAGAAGCCGCUGAUUGGCCGGCAUGCUGACGAACUUGGGGGAGGGGUUUUACCUUACCUUUUCUACCUGUUGGUUUCAACAAAGCAUGGCAUUAAAGGUCAAGAUGGCUGAGCGA